GAUGAACGCUGGCGGCGUGCCUAAUACAUGCAAGUCGAGCGAACAGACGAGGAGCUUGCUCCUCUGACGUUAGCGGCGGACGGGUGAGUAACACGUGGAUAACCUACCUAUAAGACUGGGAUAACUUCGGGAAACCGGAGCUAAUACCGGAUAAUAUAUUGAACCGCAUGGUUCAAUAGUGAAAGACGGUUUUGCUGUCACUUAUAGAUGGAUCCGCGCCGCAUUAGCUAGUUGGUAAGGUAACGGCUUACCAAGGCAACGAUGCGUAGCCGACCUGAGAGGGGGAACGGCCACCCUGGAACUGGGACACGGGCCAGACUCCUACGGGAGGCAGCAGUAGGGAAUCUUCCGCAAUGGGCGAAAGCCUGACGGGGCAACGCCGCGGGAGUGAAGAAGGUCUUCGGAUCGUAAAACUCUUUUAUUAGGGAAAAACAAAUGGGUAAGUAACUAUGGACGUCUUGACGGUACCCAAUCAAAAAGCCCCGGCUAACUACG
rnacentral:rRNA from 1 species